rnacentral:rRNA from 1 species
GUGGGGAAUAUUGGACAAUGGGCGCAAGCCUGAUCCAGCCAUGCCGCGUGGGUGAAGAAGGCCUUCGGGUUGUAAAGCCCUUUUGUCCGGAAAGAAAAGUCCCGGGUUAAUACCCUGGGGUGAUGACGGUACCGGAAGAAUAAGCACCGGCUAACUUCGUGCCAGCAGCCGCGGUAAUACGAAGGGUGCAAGCGUUACUCGGAAUUACUGGGCGUAAAGCGUGCGUAGGUGGUUUGUUAAGUCUGAUGUGAAAGCCCUGGGCUCAACCUGGGAAUGGCAUUGGAAACUGGCAGGCUAGAGUGCGGUAGAGGAUGGCGGAAUUCCCGGUGUAGCAGUGAAAUGCGUAGAGAUCGGGAGGAACAUCUGUGGCGAAGGCGGCCAUCUGGACCAGCACUGACACUGAGGCACGAAAGCGUGGGGAGCAAACAGGAUUAGAUACCCGGGUAGUCC